rnacentral:lncRNA from 1 species
AUCGACGUGAUACCCGAUGUGUUACACCAUGAUCGCGCCAAGCCUCCGUAGUUUCACUGGCAGUCCCUGCAUAAUGUUAACCAAUGCGAUGGGUGAUGCGGUGCUCCAAGAUUACGUUGGUCCACUAUUUUGGCAUACCAAACAUGGUCUAAUCGAGGUCCAAAAAAUACAAAACUUGUCCGGGAACACCUAUUGACCU